rnacentral:rRNA from 1 species
GACGCUAAGGCGUGAAAGCGUGGGGAGCAAACGGGAUUAGAUACCCCGGUAGUCCACGCCCUAAACGAUGUUCACUAGUCGUCGGGAUGCUAGUCAUCUCGGUGAUGCACUUAACAGAUUAAGUGAACCGCCUGGGGAGUACGGUCGCAAGAUUAAAACUCAAAGGAAUAGACGGGGACCCGCACAAGUGGUGGAGCAUGUGGUUUAAUUCGAAGAUACGCGAAGAACCUUACCUAGCCUUGACAUUGAUAGAAUACACCAGAGAUGGAGUAGUGCCUUUCGGGGAACUUGAAAACAGGUGCUGCACGGCUGUCGUCAGCUCGUGUCGUGAGAUGUUGGGUUAAGUCCCGCAACGAGCGCAACCCUCGUCCUUAGUUGCCAGCAGGUUAAGCUGGGCACUCUAAGGAGACUGCCUUCGUAAGGAGGAGGAAGGUGAGGACGACGUCAAGUCAUCAUGGCCCUUAUGGCUAGGGCUACACACGUGCUACAAUGGGGCGUACAGAGUGUUGCGAUACCGCGAGGUGGAGCUAAUCACUUAAAGCGUCUCUCAGUUCGGAUAGCAGUCUGCAACUCGACUGCUUGAAGCUGGAAUCACUAGUAAUCGUAGAUCAGCAAUGCUACGGUGAAUACGU